rnacentral:rRNA from 1 species
CGUGGCGGCCAAAGCGGCGGGGUCACUCCCGUACCCAUCCCGAACACGGCAGAUAAGCCCGCCAGCGUUCCGGCGAGUACUG